AUUGAACGCUGGCGGCAGGCCUAACACAUGCAAGUCGAACGGUAACAGGAAGAAGCUUGCUUCUUUGCUGACGAGUGGCGGACGGGUGAGUAAUGUCUGGGAAACUGCCUGAUGGAGGGGGAUAACUACUGGAAACGGUAGCUAAUACCGCAUAACGUCGCAAGACCAAAGAGGGGGACCUUCGGGCCUCUUGCCAUCGGAUGUGCCCAGAUGGGAUUAGCUAGUAGGUGGGGUAACGGCUCACCUAGGCGACGAUCCCUAGCUGGUCUGAGAGGAUGACCAGCCACCCUGGAACUGAGACACGGUCCAGACGCCUACGGGAGGCAGCAGUGGGGAAUAUUGCACAGUGGGCGCAAGCCUGAUGCAGCCAUGCCGCGUGUAUGGAGAAGGCCUUCGGGUUGUAAAGUACUUUCAGCGGGGAGGAAGGGAGUAAAGUUAAUACCUUUGCUCAUUGACGUUACCCGCAGAAGAAGCACCGGCUAACUCCGUG
rnacentral:rRNA from 1 species